rnacentral:rRNA from 1 species
CCUACGGGGGGCAGCAGUGAGGAAUAUUGGUCAAUGGGCGCGAGCCUGAACCAGCCAAGUCGCGUGAGGGAAGACGGUCCUAUGGAUUGUAAACCUCUUUUGUCGGGGAGCAAAAGACGCCACGCGUGGCGUUCCGAGAGUACCCGAAGAAAAAGCAUCGGCUAACUCCGUGCCAGCAGCCGCGGUAAUACGGAGGAUGCGAGCGUUAUCCGGAUUUAUUGGGUUUAAAGGGUGCGCAGGCGGAAGAUCAAGUCAGCGGUAAAAUUGAGGGGCUCAACCUCUUCGAGCCGUUGAAACUGGUUGUCUUGAGUGAGCGAGAGGUAUGCGGAAUGCGUGGUGUAGCGGUGAAAUGCAUAGAUAUCACGCAGAACUCCGAUUGCGAAGGCAGCAUACCGGCGCUCAACUGACGCUGAUGCACGAAAGUGUGGGUAUCGAACAGGAUUAGAUACCCGAGUAGUC